CCUACGGGUGGCAGCAGUGGGGAAUAUUGCACAAUGGGGGAAAGCCUGAUGCAGCGACGCCGCGUGAGUGAAGAAGGACUUCGUUAUGUAAAACUCUAUCAGCAGGGAAGAAAAAGACGGUACGUGAGUAAGAAUCCACGGCUAACUACGUGCCAGCAGCCGCGGUAAUACGUCGGUGGCGAGCGUUAUCCGGAUUUACUGGGUGGAAAGGGAGCGUAGAUGGGUGCGUAAGUCUGAAGUGAAGGGCGGGGGCUCAACCGCAGGACUGCAUUGGAAACUGGACGGAUGGAGUGCAGGCGAGGUAAGUGGAAUUCCUGGUGUAGCGGUGAAAUGCGUAGAUAUUAGGAGGAACACCAGUUGCGAAGGCGGCUUACUGGACUGUAACUGACGUUGAGGCUCGAAAGCGUGGGGAGCAAACAGGAUUAGAUACCCGGGUAGUC
rnacentral:rRNA from 1 species